rnacentral:rRNA from 1 species
GACGAACGCUGGCGGCGUGCUUAACACAUGCAAGUCGAACGGGAACCUUUAUUUCGGUAAAGGUGAGAGUGGCAAACGGGUGAGUAACACGUAGGCAACCCGCCGACAGGAUGGGGACAACAUUCCGAAAGGAAUGCUAAUACCGAAUGGAGUCCGAGGAUGGCAUCAUCCUUGGAUAAAAGAUGGCCUCUGAAUAUGCUAUCGCCUGUCGAUGGGCCUGCGUCUGAUUAGCCAGUUGGCGGGGUAACGGCCCACCAAAGCGACGAUCAGUAGCCGGUCUGAGAGGAUGAACGGCCACAUUGGGACUGAGACACGGCCCAGACUCCUACGGGAGGCAGCAGUGGGGAAUCUUCCACAAUGGGCGAAAGCCUGAUGGAGCAACGCCGCGUGAGUGAAGAAGGUCUUCGGAUCGUAAAGCUCUGUUGCACGGGACGAAAACUGGGUUUGAGAACAUGAACCUGGGGACG